GCGGGCAUGGUGAAAGGGUAUCACUUUUGCUUCCCAAGCAAACAGUACGGGUUCGAAUCCCGUUGCCCGCU
rnacentral:tRNA from 1 species